UCUAAGAGGAUUAGUAAUGAGAAGAAAGAAAACAAAGAACUUAUAGAAAACAUAUCCGUUUGGAAAGAGAAGUUUCCUAUCACUCUUUAUGGAUUCUGCCCAAGAAGUGAAAAUGAGGUCUGUGAAACAGCAGACCUGGAAGGAAACUGCUCCACUGAAGACCAAGAAGUAACAGGUUCCAAAAUUACUCCCAUUGAUUAUGGAAAGCAGAGACCAGUCAGGGACUAUAAAUGACCAGCUCAGCAAUUCACGACCAAGAGCUGUGAGGUCUAUUGUACGUAACC